rnacentral:rRNA from 1 species
UACGUAGGUGGCAAGCGUUGUCCGGAUUUACUGGGUGUAAAGGGCGUGCAGCCGGGCUGAUAAGUCAGAUGUGAAAUCUGGAGGCUCAACCUCCAAACUGCAUUUGAAACUGUCGGUCUUGAGUAUCGGAGAGGUAACCGGAAUUCCUAGUGUAGCGGUGAAAUGCGUAGAUAUUAGGAAGAACACCAGUGGCGAAGGCGGGUUACUGGACGACAACUGACGGUGAGGCGCGAAAGCGUGGGGAGCAAACAGG